rnacentral:rRNA from 1 species
AAGUCGUACGGAGAGUGGGGCAACUCACUCUCAGUGGCAAACGGGUGAGUAACGCGUGAAUAACCUGCCUUUGAGAAGGGGAUAACUGUCCGAAAGGAUAGCUAAUACCCUAUAUUGCCUUUUGUCACUAAGGCAAAAGGUGAAAGCAAGGCUGUCAAAGGCUUCGGCUCAAAGAGGGGUUCGCGUCCUAUCAGGUAGUUGGUGGGGUAAUGGCCUACCAAGCCAAUGACGGGUAGCUGGUCUUAGAGGAUGAUCAGCCACAGUGGGACUGAGACACGGCCCGCACCCCUACGGGGGGCAGCAGUGGGGAAUCGUGGGCAAUGGGCGCAAGCCUGACCCCGCAAUGCCGCGUGAGGGAAGAAGCCCUUCGGGGUGUAAACCUCUGUCAGAUGGAAAGAU